ensembl:lncRNA
CCGCAGCCGCCAGCUCAUCCCGCCGCGGACGGGCCGCAGCCGCCAGCUCCUCCCGCCGCGGACGGGCCGCAGCCAGUCCGCGCCAGAUGACCCAGGUCACUGGUUGCUGCUUUUUGUUUGUUUGCAUCCUUCUUUAUUAAAACAUGGAUUAUUUAAGUUACCUUUACUCUACGCCUGUGUCCUUCUCCCACCACAACCGUGACAAGCUGGCUUUACAAUCAGGAGCCAUAAGGAAGAAUCCUUCCAACCGGAAUGCCACUGACGAGGCUGUCCAGAACCAGGUCCCAGGUACCAGAAAGGGGCAGCUGACCUUACAUGUGGGAGAAGAUGCCACGGCGGUACAAGGGACCUGCCGUGAAUAUGAAUGACAUCUCCAGCACAACCAAUAUUGCUGCUAAGCUGCAGUACUGUAUUUCUUUUUUUUCAACUGCUGGUAUGUACAGUGUUAUAUAUAUAUAUAAUAUUAUCGCAUAAUCCUCUUAAUGUAUUUAUAGCUCUGUGUGAAUGUUCUUAAUUCUGACUGUAGUUGUAGUGUUAUGCCGCCAUUCAUUCAAGCUUAUUGCACUGAUGUAUCUAUGAUUCGUUUGCUGCCAGGUCAUACUUAUGUAUAUUACUGCCAUUCUAGCCCUUUCAAUUCAUUUGCACAUGUUUAUUUUGUAUGCUUGCUGUAUAAUGCAUGUUUUUUUGUAUGUAUCUUGCAC